rnacentral:lncRNA from 1 species
AUCGCUUUUUUGAUAUUUUUUAAGAAGAACAUAACUCAAAAGUGAGAGAGAGAACGCUGGAAAAAAAAAAUAAGAAGAGAGAAAUGAAAAUGACUGAUUUUUCAUUUUGCAUUCAGUAAAAUGGGUAAAAAGUUAAAGAAAAUGAUCGGUGAAAUGGGAAAAAUAUAACUGCCAAAAAGAUAAAAGGGGGUGCCAGCUAUGUCGGACCUAAAUUUCCACAUGUCCAAUAACUAGAGGUGCCUCAUACAAGUUUUGUUGGUUGAGUCUCACUCAAACUAACAACUACCCAGUAUAGUCCCACAAAGUGAGGUCACGGGUCUUACCCCUACCCGAAAGGGCAGAGAGGUUGUUUCCCAUCGACCCUCGGCUCAGUGAAGGAAAGGAAAAACAAAAACAAAAACAAAAACAAGAGAGCAUUAGUAACUCCAACAGAAAUAGCGUAAAUAAUUACCUAAAUAUAAGAACCAUAAAUAAAGUAGCAUGCAAUAAUAUCAGACAGUAACUACCAUAAAUAACUACCACAAAUAACUACCAUAAGGGAGACACAAUCCAAUACACAAAUCAUCUAUUGAUAGCCCUGCUAAGCCUCACACCACCCCGGGUGAGGAAUACGAAAAACUCUAGGAGCCCAUAUCCUACAACCCUGAUACUAGACCUCCAAACUUUCCUAUCAAGGGCCAUGUUCUCGGAAACCCGCAUUCUAGCCAUGUCAUGCCUAAUCACCUCUCCCCAAUACCUUUUAGGCCUCCCUCUGCCUCCUGAUACUAGACCUCCAAACUUUCCUAUCAAGGGCCAUGUUCUCGGAAACCCGCAUUCUAGCCAUGUCAUGCCUAAUCACCUAUCUCCAAUACCUCUUAGGUCUCCCUCUGCCUCGCCGUAUGCCGACCAUCGCCAGCCGCUCACAACUCCUCACGGAGGCAUCAGGACUCCUCCACCGCACAUGCUUGAACCACCUCAGCCUCGCUUCUCGCAUCUUCUCAUCCACCGGGACCACCCCCAUCUUCUCUC